rnacentral:rRNA from 1 species
CCUACGGGUGACAGCAGUGGGGAAUAUUGCACAAUGGGGGAAACCCUGAUGCAGCGACGCCGCGUGAGUGAAGAAGUAUUUCGGUAUGUAAAGCUCUAUCAGCAGGGAAGAAAAUGACGGUACCUGACUAAUAAGCCCCGGCUAACUACGUGCCAGCAGCCGCGGUAAUACGUAGGGGGCAAGUGUUAUCCGGAUUGACUGGGUGUAAAGGGUGCGUAGGUGGGGUGGUAAGUCAGAAGUGAAAACCCAGGGCUCAACUCUGUGUAUUGCUUUUGAAACUAUCAAGCUAGAGUGCUGGAGGGGUAGGCGGAAUUCCUGGUGUAGCGGUGAAAUGCGUAGAUAUUAGGAGGAACACCGAUGGCGAAGGCGGCUUACUGGACAGAAACUGACGCUGAGGCUCGAAAGCGUGGGGAGCAAACAGGAUUAGAUACCCCUGUAGUC